CCUACGGGAGGCUGCAGUGGGGAAUAUUGCACAAUGGGGGAAACCCUGAUGCAGCGACGCCGCGUGAGUGAAGAAGUAUUUCGGUAUGUAAAGCUCUAUCAGCAGGGAAGAAAUAAAGUCCUUCGGACUUUGGACGGUACCUGACUAAGAAGCCCCGGCUAACUACGUGCCAGCAGCCGCGGUAAUCCGUAGGGGGCAAGCGUUAUCCGGAUUUACUGGGUGUAAAGGGAGCGUAGACGGCAGCGCAAGUCUGGAGUGAAAUCCCAUGGCUUAACCAUGGAACUGCUUUGGAAACUGUGCAGCUGGAGUGCAGGAGAGGUAAGCGGAAUUCCUGGUGUAGCGGUGAAAUGCGUAGAUAUUAGGAGGAACACCAGUGGCGAAGGCGGCUUACUGGACUGUAACUGACGUUGAGGCUCGAAAGCGUGGGGAGCAAACAGGAUUAGAUACCCUUGUAGUC
rnacentral:rRNA from 1 species